rnacentral:lncRNA from 1 species
CAGAGAUCAAAUUGAAUUAAAUUACAAUUAAUAAUAAUGAUAAUUCCAUAUGUUCGUUUGAAAUUUUAUAUCUUUUUCAUUACUGAAAUUAUAUGAAGUUAAAUAUUGAAGCGAGUUUCUUUCCAGUAUUUUUAAAAAGUUGAGGACCGAGAGAUGAGGAGUGAAGCUUCGCUUUUGUGCCUGGUUCAACUCUUGUUUGAGCACACAAACACAACUUUUCAGCUCAGGUCACAUAAGCUGGCUCAAAAUAUCUCAACGGUAGGGGAUAUCACAUCUGCCAAUUGCGUUUGCCUCUUCUGUUGGAGCGUCUGUCAUACCGGUUAAGGAAGGAAGGUCAGAUUCGCCCUUUC